ensembl:lncRNA
GUCGACUGUAGAGUUUGAUUCUCACCACAGGAGACAAGACGCAAACACACUGUCAACAUUUGCUUCUGUGUUUUUGUUUGUUUGUUUGUUUUAUAGUCGAGUCAUUCGUGGAGCUGCUCUCUGUCACUCGUGUAUCUGUCAAACCCUAAGAAUGAGCUUCUCACCAACAGUCUCCAUGUUUCCACUGAUGGCUCCAAAGAAAACAAGGCCUGUCCAGAUCUCAACCACCACCGUCCAUCCAGACACACACCUCUGCACUAUAUUUAUCUCACACGAAGUGAACUUAAUGUAACACUGUUCAUGAGAACAGGAAGUGAAAGCUCUGAUGCAUGGUUGUCAUAGCAACAUGACUUCAAUAAGUCUUAUUCCUGUCUGAUUUCAUCCUUUCACUUAUUCAUUCUGUAAAGCAGUUUCUGCUCUGGUUCUGAUGGUUGUUUCUGUCUCUGCAGUGUUUCAGACAGUGUUUGGUGUUUUUCAGGUUCAUUUGUGAUUAUCAUCACUGCGGAGGCUUUGCUUUUACUCCUGAUAGGACUUCCAUUGAUUAUAGUGGCUGUAUGGAAGAAAACGAAGAAUAAAGGUCUGCUGUCGUCCUCCGUCGAAGAGUUUAAUUCAGUGAUUUAUGAACAGAUCAAAGACGCUGGACGUCAGUGUAAUCCAGAGGACAGAGACACAGAAACAACUGUAGUUUACAGCUGUGCUUCCUGAACUUGUGUCAUAUGUGACUCUACAGACCCGUCAGUGAGACUCGAGCAUCUCUCCAUCAACUCCACAACACAAACCAGUUCAGUUCAACUAAUAUAAUAUAACAUCAUAUAUCAUAUGAUACUAAAUAUGUACAGUUUAGCAUCAUGGUGCAUGAUUUUGCAGUGGGCAGAAUUCAGUAAGGAGACAGCUGUUCCUGAGUCUGCUGGUCCUUGUCUGGAGGCUCCUGAAGGGUCAGGAGGUUAAACAGUCUAUGGUCAGGGUGAGAGGAGUCCUUGAGAAUGCUGCGAGCUCAAGUUCAGCGGUCAGCUUGGACGGAAUGAAAGUGUUAAAUGCUGAGCUUAAGUCAACAAACAACAUCCGUACAUAUGUGUUGUUAUUGUCCAAGUGUGUGAGUACCGAGUGCAGCACUGUUCAUACUGCAUCCUCUGUGCUCCUAUUGCUACGGUAGGCAAGUUGGUGUGGGUCCAGUGUGGGUGGGAUUCACGAUGUAACUGAAAAUCAGUCAUAACUGAGUUCAUUUUGUUGGCUUUGCUCACAGUAAUUGUUGUUACAAUUUUUAAUUGUAUGUUUACAGCUAAAAUGCAUAAAUAUGAAUCAUUUGAAUGUACCAAUUUCUGAAGCUGAGUCUCAUAAGUUGCAAUCUGCAGCUUAAUGGACAAAUUAAACCAUGCUAUUCUGGAACUGCAUUUUGAUAUUGAUUUUAUUUUAUUUAUGUGUGGUGUAUGUAGCAUUUCCUUGUCGUAUGUUGAGCUCAAGGUUUGUGUGGUUGGUUUGAUCUGUUCAGUUCUGCUGGUAGAUGCUGUAACUGCACCGAUCUGCUGCCAAAGAACAUCUUUCUACAUUUACUGACAUUCAAAAGUAGCUUUAUAGUCUGAUAAGUCCUUGCAAGCAACUUAUAACGGAGGCUCCUAAAAGCAAAAAGUGUUGAGGACUUUUAGAGUAAAAUGUUAAAGUUGUGGUGUUGAAUUUUAGAAGAUUAACACUAGCUAGUGUAAACAGCAUUCUCUGGCCGGUGUAAAUACACAGAGUUACCCUUUUGAGUGUUAUUAGUCACAUCCGGGACAUUUGCUGGUGUACGCACCUGACCCAUCUGAAAUAUUUUUCACAAAUGCCAUUUUCUUUGCUCGAGGUGCGGAGCAUUUAAGGGCGGAAAACGGUGAAAUAAAGUGUUUAAUCUUACUCACAAAAUGUGUUUGUAAUGUCAUAUUUUAUAACUAUUUAUUUGCUGUGUGCACAAACUUUUUUCUCAACGACAUUUCCUUUCAUUCGC